CUAGUCACUGAUGUCUCAAGUUCUCCAGCCCCUCCUCUCCAAGGCGACCAAGGCGCGUUUGGAGAGGAGCCAAACUUAACUGAUUUGGAUUAUGAGGAAAUUCCAAAAGAUACAAUUAGUGACCAUUUGGAGGCUGGAGAAAUCUGACCGGGUCUUAUCUAAAUUUAUGAACUAAAAAGAUUAGACAGGUUUCCUGUUUGCAGGUUUCUCUCCGGGCGCUCCGGCUUCCUGCCACAGUCUGACAUUACGACUGUUAGUUAAUUUGGCUCUAAAUUCUGUCUAGUGUGAUUAAAACAUUUAUUUUCUGCCUUCAUGGUUUGCAUGUUCUCCAAUCAGUGGAUUCUCUCCGGUUCGGUCCCAAAAGAUGACCGUUGGUUUACUUGGCUUUUCUAGUUGACCUUAUUCCCAAGUCUUCUCCCCUCUCGUUUGCUUAAAGUAGCUUUGGCCACUAGGAUUUUGACUUAAAUCAAACUCCUCUUUCAAAUGUGUGCCAAGUUUCAUAAUUCUUGGAUAAAUCGUGGCUUGUGGAUGAUUUUUAAGGAUAUUCUUGGGUGUGUUGUGGAGGAAUUGGGCCACACACACCAAAUAUUGGACCACAUUCCUGUCAGGGGGAGGACAAGGAUCGAUUUCAAGAACGUAGAGGAAGACGCAGACCACCGUCAGGAAGCAGGACGCUGUCACCACGCCCACAACCAGCCAUGUGAAGGUAUCAUCUGGAAAAAACAAAGACAGGAGAGCCCGCCUGUCGAGGUACGUCGACUCCACUGAUUGGCCGUUCACCAGCCAUGUGACCACAGUGGAGUCUACCUGUUGGCAUUCAGUGACCACCAGACAGAACAGCUCCAGUCCUGAACCUGGUUGGUGAAAAAUAUAAGGACAUCGGUCAAGUAUUUAGUUAAACAUCCUUGACUGUGAGCAAAAAGCAGGAGACACGACGACACAUGACCACGUACCAUGAGAGCUUUCGAAGACGGUCCCAUUGACUGAGGACACUGGAUCAGUCCAGGAACCAAACAAAACUCACCGCUGACGGCACUGAGGGUGCUGCUGCUGGGCUGACCCGGACCGGAGGGCGUGGUGACAACGGGCCUGGAGGCAGUGACUGCAGGGUCUGAACCUGGCGGACAGCGCAUCCAGAAUGAGAAACUCAAAUGACAGGCGUUCCCCUACCUGGUGACCCUUUAAACCUGAACCAUCAGGAAACUCAUCCCCCAUCCGAAACAGACGACCUUUACCCCAAAGUGCGGCACACAGGAUCUCGGAGUUGAACCUCUUCUUG